AGCUCAGAUAGCCGAGUGGUUUAAGCGAUAGACUUUUAUUCCAGGGCUCAGUGGUUCGAGCCCACUUGAGUUU
rnacentral:tRNA from 1 species